rnacentral:rRNA from 1 species
UACGGGAGGCAGCAGUGAGGAAUAUUGGUCAAUGGGCGAGAGCCUGAACCAGCCAAGUAGCGUGCAGGAUGACGGCCCUAUGGGUUGUAAACUGCUUUUAUGCGGGGAUAAAGUGCGCCACGUGUGGCGUUUUGUAGGUACCGCAUGAAUAAGGACCGGCUAAUUCCGUGCCAGCAGCCGCGGUAAU